rnacentral:rRNA from 1 species
AUUUCCCUACGGGGGGCAGCAGUGGGGAAUAUUGCACAAUGGGGGAAACCCUGAUGCAGCAACGCCGCGUGAGCGAUGAAGUAUUUCGGAAUGUAAAGCUCUAUCAGCAGGGAAGAAAAUGACGGUACCUGACUAAGAAGCCCCGGCUAACUACGUGCCAGCAGCCGCGGUAAUACGUAGGGGGCAAGCGUUAUCCGGAUUUACUGGGUGUAAAGGGAGCGUAGACGGUCCUGCAAGCAAGAUGUGAAAGCCCGGG